rnacentral:rRNA from 1 species
UACGAAGGGGGCUAGCGUUGUUCGGACUUACUGGGCGUAAAGCGCGCGCAGGCGGUCUUCCAAGUCAGUGGUGAAAGCCCGGAGCUCAACUCCGGAACUGCCAUUGAAACUGUAAGACUUGAGGAUGAGAGAGGUGAGUGGAAUUCCCAGUGUAGAGGUGAAAUUCGUAGAUAUUGGGAAGAACACCGGUGGCGAAGGCGGCUCACUGGCUCAUAUCUGACGCUCAGGCGCGACAGCGUGGGGAUCAAACAGG